rnacentral:rRNA from 1 species
AACGAACGCUGGCGGCAGGCCUAACACAUGCAAGUCGAACGCCCCGCAAGGGGAGUGGCAGACGGGUGAGUAACACGUGGGAACCUUCCCUAUAGUACGGAAUAGCCCAGGGAAACUUGGAGUAAUACCGUAUACGCCCGAAAGGGGAAAGAUUUAUCGCUAUAGGAUGGGCCCGCGUAGGAUUAGCUAGUUGGUGAGGUAAUGGCUCACCAAGGCGACGAUCCUUAGCUGGUUUGAGAGAACGACCAGCCACACUGGGACUGAGACACGGCCCAGACUCCUACGGGAGGCAGCAGUGGGGAAUAUUGGACAAUGGGCGCAAGCCUGAUCCAGCCAUGCCGCGUGAGUGAUGAAGGCCUUAGGGUUGUAAAGCUCUUUUGCCGGGGACGAUAAUGACGGUACCCGGAGAAUAAGUCCCGGCUAACUUCGUGCCAGCAGCCGCCGCAGUAA